AUACACCUCAGAGAUACUUCUGCACCUUUCCAGCAGAAGACAUAUGGAAGCAUUGUUCAUUAUAGCCCCAGAAGGAAACAACUAAGUGUCUAUCAGCAGAAGAAAAGAAUUGUGUGACAGCAACUGUGUCUAAGGGGCAAAGCCAAGAAAAUCAUGGAGGGACAUACACCUUCAGCCAGGCAACAACUGUGCUGCCACUGCCCAACCCAGGAUGCCGGGAAUUGAAUCAGACGAUAACUUUUCUGCACUUUUCCUGGUGACUCUUGGAUCAGUGGCUCCUUUGAAAGUAAUUGGGCUUUAAGGCCAUUUCAACCAAGCAGAAUUGUGAAGACAAACAUAAAGAAACAAAGAUGAGAGUCCCACCCACUGAGGAAGAGAAAGAGCUGAAGAACAGGAGCAGAGGGAAAGGACAGAAAGAAACCCACUAAGCCUCCCUCCAGGUGACUGAGAGAUUUUUCGUCUUGGUUCAAGUCCUUUGUAAGGCUUAGCUAUAAUUCCUACCCUUGCAUUCUGCAUAAUUACCCUGUGUACCUUUUUUUUUCCUUUGCUUUGGAUUUUUUAUAUUUACAACUAAACAAUGCAUGUCUAAGAAACC
rnacentral:lncRNA from 10 species